GACGAACGCUGGCGGCGUGCUUAACACAUGCAAGUCGAACGAUGAAGCUGGAGCUUGCUCUGGUGGAUUAGUGGCGAACGGGUGAGUAACACGUGAGUAACCUGGCCUGGACUCUGGGAUAACCCCGAGAAAUCGGAGCUAAUACCGGAUAGGACCUCGGAUCGCAUGAUCUGGGGUGGAAAGUUUUUCGGUCUGGGAUGGACUCGCGGCCUAUCAGCUUGCUGGUGAGGUAAUGGCUCACCAAGGCGUCGACGGGUAGCCGGGCUGAGAGGGUGCCCGGCCACACUGGGACUGAGACACGGCCCAGACUCCUACGGGAGGCAGCAGUGGGGAAUAUUGCACAAUGGGCGCAAGCCUGAUGCAGCAACGCCGCGUGCGGGAUGACGGCCUUCGGGUUGUAAACCGCUUUUAGUAAGGCAGAAGCCGCAAGGUGACGGUACUUGCAGAAAAAGGACCGGCUAACUACGUGCCAGCCGCCGCCGUAACAC
rnacentral:rRNA from 1 species